GGCAGGAAGGCGCAGGGUGCGUGUCGGCUUUUGAUAAAGUGAAAAGAUUGCACGAAAAUGGACCGAAGGUCCCCGUUCGACUCGGGGUCCUGCCA